rnacentral:rRNA from 1 species
GACGAACGCUGGCGGCGUGCUUAACACAUGCAAGUCGAACGGAAAGGCUCUGCUUUUGUGGGGUGCUCGAGUGGCGAACGGGUGAGUAACCCGUGAGUAACCUGCCCUUGACUUUGGGAUAACUUCAGGAAACUGGGGCUAAUACCGGAUAGGAGCUCCUGCUGCAUGGUGGGGGUUGGAAAGUUUCGGCGGUUGGGGAUGGACUCGCGGCUUAUCAGCUUGUUGGUGGGGUAGUGGCUUACCAAGGCUUUGACGGGUAGCCGGCCUGAGAGGGUGACCGGCCACAUUGGGACUGAGAUACGGCCCAGACUCCUACGGGAGGCAGCAGUGGGGAAUAUUGCACAAUGGGCGGAAGCCUGAUGCAGCAACGCCGCGUGCGGGAUGACGGCCUUCGGGUUGUAAACCGCUUUCGCCUGUGACGAAGCGUGAGUGACGGUAAUGGGUAAAGAAGCACCGGCUAACUACGUG